rnacentral:rRNA from 1 species
UACAGAGGGGGCUAGCGUUGUUCGGAAUUACUGGGCGUAAAGCGCACGUAGGCGGAUCGAUCAGUCAGGGGUGAAAUCCCAGAGCUCAACUCUGGAACUGCCUUUGAUACUGUCGAUCUGGAGUAUGGAAGAGGUGAGUGGAAUUCCGAGUGUAGAGGUGAAAUUCGUAGAUAUUCGGAGGAACACCAGUGGCGAAGGCGGCUCACUGGUCCAUUACUGACGCUGAGGUGCGAAAGCGUGGGGAGCAAACAGG